AUUUCGCGGGACAUAGGAAUGUUACUACAAUAUUUUACGUAAAUCUGACGUUAAACUGAACUCCCUUGCGAUCCAAUUAUGAUGUAAAAAUUUGGGAUAUAAUUUUGAUAUCAUACCGAUUCCCGGCAGUGUUGUGAGCCAAAAUUACCAACAGAAUACUUAAAUAAUAAAA